UACGUAGGGUGCAAGGCGUUGUCCGGAAUUAUUGGGCGUAAAGAGCUCGUAGGCGGUCUGUCGCGUCUGCUGUGAAAACUCGGGGCUUAACCCCGGGCCUGCAGUGGGUACGGGCAGACUAGAGUGCGGUAGGGGAGACUGGAAUUCCUGGUGUAGCGGUGAAAUUCGUAGAUAUUGGGAAGAGCACCGGUGGCGAAGGCGGCUCUCUGGACCGACACUGACGCUGAGGCGCGAAAGCGUGGGGAGCAAACAGG
rnacentral:rRNA from 1 species